CCUACGGGAGGCAGCAGUGGGGAAUUUUGGACAAUGGGCGCAAGCCUGAUCCAGCAAUGCCGCGUGCAGGAUGAAGGCCUUCGGGUUGUAAACUGCUUUUGUACGGAACGAAACGGUCUGCUUUAAUACAGUGGGCUAAUGACGGUACCGUAAGAAUAAGCACCGGCUAACUACGUGCCAGCAGCCGCGGUAAUACGUAGGGUGCGAGCGUUAAUCGGAAUUACUGGGCGUAAAGCGUGCGCAGGCGGUUAUAUAAGACAGAUGUGAAAUCCCCGGGCUCAACCUGGGACCUGCAUUUGUGACUGUAUAGCUAGAGUACGGUAGAGGGGGAUGGAAUUCCGCGUGUAGCAGUGAAAUGCGUAGAUAUGCGGAGGAACACCGAUGGCGAAGGCAAUCCCCUGGACCUGUACUGACGCUCAUGCACGAAAGCGUGGGGAGCAAACAGGAUUAGAUACCCUGGUAGUCCACGCCCUAAACGAUGUCACUGGUUGUUGGUCUUCACUGACUCAGUAACGAAGCUACGNGNGAGUAGACGCGNGGUAAGGUCGCGCGAGUAGUUAAGUUAGAANAGAGUUGNGNGNGAGAGNGCGACGCGACGACGAGGAGGAGG
rnacentral:rRNA from 1 species